CACGUAGGGCGCGAGCGUUGUCCGGAAUUAUUGGGCGUAAAGAGCUCGUAGGCGGCCUGUUGCGUCCGCUGUGAAAGCCCGGGGCUUAACCCCGGGUCGGCAGUGGAUACGGGCAGGCUAGAGGUAGGUAGGGGAGAAUGGAAUUCCCGGUGUAGCGGUGAAAUGCGCAGAUAUCGGGAGGAACGCCGGUGGCGAAGGCGGUUCUCUGGGACGGUACUGACGCUGAGACGCGAAAGCGUGGGGAGCGAACAGG
rnacentral:rRNA from 1 species